rnacentral:rRNA from 1 species
UGGAUCACUUGGCUCGUGGAUCGAUGAAGAACGCAGCUAACUGCGAUAAAUAGUGCGAAUUGCAGACGCAUUGAG